rnacentral:rRNA from 1 species
UACGAAGGGGGCUAGCGUUGCUCGGAAUUACUGGGCGUAAAGGGCGCGUAGGCGGAUGGUACAGUCAGAUGUGAAAGUCCCGGGCUUAACCUGGGGGCUGCAUUUGAUACGUGCGAUCUGGAGUGAGGAAGAGGGUCGUGGAAUUCCCAGUGUAGAGGUGAAAUUCGUAGAUAUUGGGAAGAACACCGGUGGCGAAGGCGGCGACCUGGUCCUUGACUGACGCUGAGGCGCGAAAGCGUGGGGAGCAAACAGG